AGGCUGUUGCAGCUGUUCCAAGGGGCUGGAAAGCAGCCAGCUGGCUGGAGCAGCUGCUGGCGAUGCAGGAGGUCUCAGACACUGCAGUGCUGGGACCCUGGCAGGGGGAGACCUCAGUAGCUGCUGAAAAAUCGGGAGAGUCUUAGAGCCAGGUGCCAUGUGCUCAGCUGAAGAUGGAUGUGGCAAUCAGAGUAAAACUGCUCCAGUAAAAC